rnacentral:rRNA from 1 species
UACGGAGGGGGCUAGCGUUGUUCGGAAUUACUGGGCGUAAAGCGCACGUAGGCGGCUUUGUAAGUUAGAGGUGAAAGCCCAGGGCUUAACUCUGGAAUUGCCUUUAAGACUGCAUCGCUAGAAUCGUGGAGAGGUGAGUGGAAUUCCGAGUGUAGAGGUGAAAUUCGUAGAUAUUCGGAAGAACACCAGUGGCGAAGGCGGUCUGCUGGGCCAAGACUGACGCUGAGGCGCGACAGCGGUGGGGGAGCAAACAGG